rnacentral:rRNA from 1 species
UACGGGGGGGGGCAAGCGUUUGUUCGGAAUUACUGGGCGUAAAGGGCUCGUAGGCGGCCAACUAAGUCCGACGUGAAAUCCCCAGGCUUAACCUGGGAACUGCGUCGGAUACUGGAUGGCUUGAAUUCGGGGAGAGGGAUGCAGAAUUCCAGGUGUAGCGGUGAAAAUGCGUAGAUAUCGGGGAGGAACACCUGUGGCGAAAAGCGGCUCACUGGGCCACAACUGACGCUGAUGCGCGAAAAGCUAGGGGGAGCAAACAGGG